GGCGAACGGGUGAGUAACACGUGGGUAACCUACCUGGAAGACAGGGAUAACGAUUCGAAAGGGUCGCUAAUACCUGAUAAUAUCUAACAGUCGGAUGGCAGUUAGAAGAAAGGGGAAACCCGCUUUCAGAUGGGCCCGCGUCCCAUCAGCUAGUUGGUAAGGUAAAGGCUUACCAAGGCGACGACGGGUAGCCGGUCUGAGAGGAUGUAUGUCUAUUUUUGGGACUGAGAUACGGCCCAGACUCCUACGGGAGGCAGCAGUUGGGAAUCUUAGGCAAUGGGCGAAAGCCUGACCUAGCGACGCCGCGUGAGGGAAGAAGGC
rnacentral:rRNA from 1 species